CAGGAGGCUUUUAGUCUGAAAGCAACUCAAAGAUUUGCUGGAAACACAGUGGGAGACCUGGGGACCAUCUGCAUGGUCAGUGGGGGCCUCUCCCUCAUGGGACAUCUUCAGGUGGAGGCUGAGCAGCCAUCUGUUGGGGAUGCUCUAGCUCUGGAUUCCCUGCACCAAGCAGGGGUUUGAAUAGAGGGUCUACAAGGCUCCCUCCAACUCUUUGAGUCAACAAUUGCCUAAUAAUUUGGAAGAAAAACAGGGCCACCCCCAAAUACGAAGAGACUUCUACAUACUCCAGCAACUUUCAAGGAUCCCUCCCCCCGGGACAAACUUCUAAUCAACAAUACAUAAAGGACUGCUAGACAGAAUACAAGGGGCUGAGAAUCUUCUGAAUCUUCUUUCAGGUCCAGGUUGUGAUGAAUAGUGUGGAAAAAUAAAUCAAAUGUGGAGUUUUAGCUUAAGUAAUAUUCUAUGACACCAUGAUUUCCCAGAGAAGGCAAGUAACUAAUUAAUUUUGAUAAAUAGUCACAUUGAGAAUUCAGGAAGCAUCCGUGUACACAGUUAUCCAUUCGUAUGUCCAUUGACCUUGACAGACCUGUCAACUGAGUAGGAGAGUGCGAGAAAGGGCACUGCCCUUGCACUGGGGGCCUCACCUCUGCUCCUGCAAUAUUUUACCCCUGGACCUAAAGGCUUUUGGAUGCCCCUGCCCUGCAAGUUAAGCAUCAUUUUUUUAACACAUAGGUUUUUGAGGGCACAAACCACACACCCCAGUACAGUCUGAAGCUGAUUUGGGGUCUCCCAGGGUGUGUGGAGGCCCUGGACUUCAGCCCCAAAUUCCAGGGGUAAGAGCACCUCUGUGUGAACGGACACCCCCCAAUCUAGAGGAGAUGCGAACUAAAGGCGGGUGUGAAAAACUUCCAUGUUAUGCACGGAGACCCUUAGUAAAGAACUUCAGUAUGGGCAACCGGAUCCAUCGGGGAAGAUAUGGCAGAAUAACUGAUGGAAGACCUGAAGAUCAGAUAGACUUGCCAGCUUUUUCCUAGCUCCUCCUCUUGUACCUUCGACAGAAGUUUAAUCUGCUGACAUUAGCUGGUGAGAAUGAUUCUCUCAACUCCAUCCCUUCACUAACUGAUUUUGGCAGAUAAAUCACAAACAGCUGUCAAAGGCACAGGAAAUAGCCAAGCUGGGAUUUUUUUGGCCACAUGGUGACCCUUGGAUCAGAUUGUACAGCUGCUAAAUGGCAGGUUCACUGGAGGUAUUAUUUCUCUCAUACUGAAUCUUAACCUGUCUGCAAAGAAUGUUUAGAAAUAAUUUUGAUUUUUCUGAGGAACAGCUUGAUUAUUAAAAUACUCCACUUGGGGAAGUCCUACUAAACUGAAAAGAGUUUGUAUUGGCAAAGUGUUCUGGGGACUGGCAUAAAAGCAGCUAAUUCUGAGCCAUUCUCCCCCCCACCCCAGUUUACAGAGUAUCUAUUGGAGCCAAGCUUUGUUCACAGCCUGGAGGAAAAUGAGGGGGAGAAACCCAGC